rnacentral:rRNA from 1 species
GAUGAACGCUAGCGGCAGGCUUAACACAUGCAAGUCGAGGGGCAGCACGUCUUCGGAUGGUGGCGACCGGCGCACGGGUGAGUAACGCGUAUGCAAUCUACCUUUUACAGGGGCAUAGCCCGGGGAAACCCGGAUUAAUAUCCUAUAGUACCAUUAUAUAGCAUUAUAUUAUGGUUAAAGUUUCGGCGGUAAAAGAUGAGCAUGCGUCCUAUUAGCUUGAUGGUAAGGUAACGGCUUACCAUGGCUAUGACAGGUAGGGGUCCUGAGAGGGAGACCCCCCACACUGGUACUGAGACACGGACCAGACUCCUACGGGAGGCAGCAGUGAGGAAUAUUGGACAAUGGGCGCAAGCCUGAUCCAGCCAAGCCGCGUGCAGGAAGACGGCCCUAUGGGUUGUAAACUGCUUUUAUACGGGAAGAAACACCCCUUCGUGAAGGGACUUGACGGUACCGUAUGAAUAAGGAUCGGCUAACUCCGUGCCAGCAGCCGCGGUAAUACGGAGGAUCC